rnacentral:pre_miRNA from 1 species
CGGCUGUGGGCAGAGAAGACAGGACUCAGGACAAUCUCCAGCAUGGCCUGGUUCCCUCUCCUCCUCACCCUCCUCACUCACUGGGCAGGUGA